rnacentral:rRNA from 1 species
CCCUUAGAUGUCCUGGGCCGCACGCGCGCUACACUGACGCAUACAGCGAGCACUUUCCAGUUCCGAGAGGCUACUGGUAAUCAUCAAUAUGCGUCGUGAUGGGGAUAGAUCUUUGGAAUUCUGGAUCUUGAACGAGGAAUGCCUAGUAAUCGCAGGUCAUUAGCCUGCGAUGAUUAAGUCCCUGCCCUUUGUACACACCGCCCGUCGCUACUACCGAUUUCGAGUGGUCAGGUGAAUCUUUCGGACUGUGGGCGCCCUUGAGGUGUUCGCGGAAAGUCAGGUAAAUCUUAUCACUUAGAGGAAGUAAAAGUCGUAACA